AGCGGGGUUUGAAGCUAAAAAUAAAUACAUCUUCAAUAUAAAAAAAAAAGCAAAUCACGCACUGCUCCAGAGGGCUUUAAAACCCCUCCAGAUGGUUUUGAGUUUAAAAUCCCUCAUACAGAGAGUUCUGAGUUUGAAAACAUCUCUCUUCACUUUUAUUAAUUUUUUUUUCUAAAGCAAACUACAGUCACCAAAUUCUAUAAUAGCAGCUAUGGGUGUUGAUAUGGUGCGCAAAGGUGCACGCGUUCAAUAUAAUAAAGUAUCAUUCUCCGCCAUGACACUAAUGGUUGUUGUUUGUUUAUUGCUGACUGUGAACCUAGAUCAUAAUUAACAUGGUGGCAGUGGUAUAUUAAUGAUCAGAGGUAAUCAUUAAUCAGUAUAUAAAGGUUAAUUGUUUGCAUUAAUAAAUAGACAACAAUUCAAGGCUACGCCGUGCAAUGGCAGCUAGAAAUUUCCUUCCUGUACCCGAGCCGCUCGAGGUAGAAGGAAACAUGGCCGCUAAUUGGCAAAAGUUUCACCGGAGCUGGCGAAACUAUGAGUUAGCCAUUAAAUUGUCGGAAGAAUCAGAGGAGGUCAGAGUGGCCACCUUUCUAACAAUUAUAGGAACAAAAGCGAUGGACAUAUAUGAUGGUCUUGAAAUUGAGAAGGGAAAAGAAAGAAAGAUGGAAGAAAUAGUGAACAAAUUUGAAAGUUUUUGCAUUGGAAAAACGAAUGAGACUUAUGAGCGCUAUGUGUUCAAUACGCGAGAACAGCAAGAAGGCGAGGACAUUGAAAAGUACAUAACAAAUCUGAGAAGACUAGCAAAAACGUGUAGUUUUGAACGCCUGGAAGAUAGCUUGAUUAGAGACAGAGUAGUUCUUGGUAUUAGACAUGAAUGCCUCAAAAUGAAAUUGCUACAAGAUAGUAGUCUCACAUUGGAAAGGUGCAGAGAUAUUUGCAGAGCAUACGAGACCGCCAACAAACAGUUGAGACAAAUACAAGCCGACCCUCCAAUCAUUGAGAAAGUAUCAACACCUUCAAGAACAAACAUUCAGAAAGGUAAAUGCAGGUAUUGUGGAAGGAUUCACGAAUACAUUAAAGAAAAGUGCCCUGCAUGGGGUAAAAUGUGCCUAGCAUGCAAGGGGAGACAUCAUUUUGCUGUGAUGUACAAAAAGAAAAUUCAGCAGGUGUCAGAUGAUAUGUCUAACGAUGAAAGACAGCUACAGUCGGACACAAGAGAUGAUGUCAUGAUGGUAAAAAAUGAAUGGGUGAUGUCUUUGGAGAACCACAAAACGAAAAGGAUGACAGCAGUUAUGACAGUAAAUGGUCACCGUGUAAGGUUUCAAAUGGAUAGUGGAGCUGAUGUAAAUACCAUCCAGGAAAAAUACGUAAAUAAGAAUCAGAUAGAAAAGGCAACGCAAAGAUUACUAAUGUGGAAUAAGACUGAAAUGAGACCCAUAGGGAAAGCCACUCUAACGACGAGAAAUGAGAAAACUAACGAAACAUUUGAGGUGGAAUAUAUAGUUGUACCAAAUAAUCUAGCAUGCCUUCUAGGUCAUGAAACUUUAACAAGAAUGAAGUUAAUCAAAGUCAAUAAAGAUAGGUUCAUAGCAUCAGUAGUGAAUAACCAAGAAGAAGACUAUAGUCCAAAGUUUACUGGUGAUUUGGGUGACUUAGGAGAAGUGUCUUUAAAGAUUGAUAGCAGCAUUAAGCCCAAGGUUCUGCCAUGUAGAAAGAUCCCUAUUGCUUUACAAGAAAGAGUUAAGGAGGAGUUAAAGACCCUAGUGCAGAGAGGAAUCAUAGAACCAGUGAUAGAGCCUACAGAGUGGGUGAGUCAGAUGGCAAUUGUGGAAAAAGCUAAUGGAAAAAUUAGGAUCUGCAUAGAUCCACAAGCCCUGAAUAAAGUUUUACUAAGGGAAUUCUAUAAUCUUGCUACUUUAGAUGACAUAUUGGCAGAUUUGAACGAUGCCAAAAUAUUCAGCAAAUUGGAUGUGCAAGAAGCUUUCUGGCAUGUCAGACUAGACACAGCGUCAUCUAAUUUGACAGCAAUGAUAACCCCUUUUGGUAGAUACAAAUGGAAACGAUUACCAUUUGGACUGAAAGUGAGUUCAGAAAUUUUUCAGAGACGAUUAAAUCUAGCACUAGAAGGACUGAAAGGCUGUUUCAAUUACGUUGAUGAUAUUAUGGUGGUAGGAAGAGGAAGAACGAAAGAAGAAGCACUCAGAAAUCAUGAUAUUAACCUAAGAGAGCUGAUGAAGAGAUGUCAAGAAAAGAAGAUUAAACUGAACCAUGAAAAGUCUGUUUUUAGAACAGCUGAGAUUAAUUUUUUGGGUCAUAUUAUUACAGAAGCAGGAAUAAAACCAGACCCGAACAAAGUAUCUGCGAUUUUGAAUUUGAAUGCUCCAAAAGAUAUUUCAUCAGUCCGAAGAUUCUGUGGCAUGGUUCAAUAUCUUGCAAGAUUUGUUCCAGAUUUGUCGACAGAUUUACAGCCCAUUACAGAGUUGAUCAGAAAGAAAAAGAAUUGUUAGCAGUGGUUGUUGGUUUGGAACGUUUUGACCAGUAUACGUAUGGCAGGACAGUUAUAGUUCAGAAUGACCAUAAACCACUGGAAAACAUCCUUCAAAAACCACUCAGUUCUGCUCCGAGAAGGCUACAAAGUCUAAUGAUGCGUCUUUAUCGUUACGAUAUCCAGUUUCAAUAUGUCAAAGGCAAAAAUUUGUUCAUAGCUGAUACUUUGAGUAUAGACCCAUCAGAGGAAAAGAGGGAUAUCCCUGAUGUUUGUGUCAAAACAGUCGGACUGGCAAUACCAGAUGCAGUGCUGGAGAAAGUCAGAAUCGAGACAGAGAAAGAUAGAACAAUGCAAACACUUAUUCAGUAUAUCCUAAAUGGAUGGCCAGACAAACAUAAUAGUUUACCUGAACUCAAACAAUAUUUUUCACUAAGAGACAUGUUAACAUACGAAGACGGACUCCUGUUGAAAGGAGAACAAAUAAUCAUACCGAUAUCACUUCGCAAGGAAAUAGAAGAAAAACUCCAUGCAUCACAUCUGGGAGUAGACUCAAUGAAAAGAAGAGCAAAAGAAACAGUUUUCUGGCCUGGAUUAUCAGCUCGAAUACAGGAAAUAGCCAACUCAUGUUACAUUUGUCAGAAAAAUAAACCAGCAAACCAGAGAGAAGAAUUAAUACAUCACGAAAUAGGUUCUAAUCCGUGGGACAAGAUUGGAAUUGAUUUAUUUCAAAUGUGUGACCAACAAUAUCUAGCCAUAGUGGACUAUUAUUCCAAUUUCAUAGAGGUAGAAAACAUGCAGUUGACAACAACACACGCAAUUAUAAAGAAACUGAAAGUUUUAUUUGCAAGAUAUGGGGUGCCCAAAGUUUGUAUAUCUGAUAGCGGACCUCAGUUCACAUCGGAAUAUUUUUCCAAAUUUAUGAUGGAAUGGGGAGUGACUCAUUUGAAAUCUUCUCCAGGACACCAUCAAUCCAAUGGAAAAGCUGAGUCAGCAGUUAAAAUUUUGAAGAACAUAAUGAAGAAAUCUAGAGAAUCAAAGUCAGAUGCUUAUGAAGCUCUUCUGGAAUUUAGAAAUACUCCAAGGCAAGACACAAAUCUAAGCCCAGUUCAGAUGUUUUUUGGUCGGAUGACUCGAACACUGAUACCAAACAAAAGGAGUAACAUUAAGAUUUCUACAUGUCAAGAGAACAUUAUGAGAAGGAAAGAAAAAACGUCAGAUGAGUGUAAAAACAUCUAAUGAUAAGAGGUCAAGAAAUUUAAGUCAGCUGAAAACUGGACAGAUGGUCUAUUUCCAAUCUCCUAAUGACCCUACAUGGAGACGUGGAAGAAUCCAGUCUCAAGUCAAUCAGAGAGCUUACAUUAUUCGAGGUGACAAUGGUGCAGUGUACCAAAGAAACAGAGUGCAUAUUAACCCGAACAGAGAAACAGAAGAAGAUAUAUUUCCCGAUACUGAUAACAACAUACAGGACAAUAGAACUCAGGAUCAACACGUUCGCCACUCAUCAACUCAUCAUUCCCUGCGACCAAGGGAUCAGUUGAAGAAACCGACAAGAUUCAAUGACUAUGUGUCUUAAUGAACUAUUGAAUGUUGAUUUUUAAAUGUGAUAUGUUUCAUAUUGAUUGAAGCGUAUACAUGUAUGUUACGUUUAGUUGUUUAUGUUGUUGUUGUUUUAUUUUUUUUCUAUGAUACUCCCCGAAAUGUUUUAUUUUUUUACAUUUUUUUUUUAAAGAAAAGGGGAUGUUGAUAUGGUGCGCAAAGGUGCACGCGUUCAAUAUAAUAAAGUAUCAUUCUCCGCCAUGACACUAAUGGUUGUUGUUUGUUUAUUGCUGACUGUGAACCUAGAUCAUAAUUAACAAUGGGUGUUUUGAAUUUGUUAAAAAAGACUCCCUCCAGAGAUUUUUUAGUUUAAAACAGAUGAUUUUGACGAUAAAACUUUCCCUUUCGAUAUAAAAUCUAAAGCAAACUACAGUCACCUAAUUCCAAGAGCGUAGCCAAGAGAGGUUACAAAUUUCUACCAGUGGCUGGGUUCCAUUAAUAAAAUGCAGUGAAUAGUCAUCUGCCAAAAUUGAAAAAGUCUAAAUGUGGCUCAACAAAGAUGGCUAAAACGGAUUUUACGAGUCAAUUAUAGAGAUCGGGUCUCAAUCAAGGAAAUCCUAUGCCGAACUAGGAGUCAAACCCUUAGUAAGGUUGUGACAGAGUGUCGCAUGAGGUUUGCGGGAUAUGUUCUCCGACAAAAUGAAUUACGCAUAAUAAGAGUUGCGAUGAAAUGGAGGCCAUUACGAGGGAAGCGCCUACUUGGUGCUACACUUUCAUGGAGGUUCUCAGAGCAGGUGAGAAGAAGCUCCAGACAUUGCCAGUGACAGAUUUUUUGUGCCGCCCAAUGCGCUGAACGACGCGGGAGGAUCUAAGUCAUUGUCAGGGCGUACAGCACCCUUCUUGACCUUGGCAUCAGGUCGCAUUCUCUUGGUUGGAGAAACACAUAUAGUCUAUACUAGUCUAUAGUCUUAUGAGCCUAUCUAAAACACGAUCUAUGGCUUUUGCAUUCUGAAGAGAAAAAUGUCUUCUAUAACAAUACUCAGUCUCAGAAGAAUCUCAUCUUCCACAAAUACUAGUAGCUUCACACUUUUUAUUCUGCUUGCUGGUUGGAUUUAUUUUUAAUUUCAAUUAUUGUGAAAAUAG